ACUCCUACGGGAGGCAGCAGUGGGGAAUAUUGGACAAUGGGGGCAACCCUGAUCCAGCCAUGCCGCGUGUGUGAAGAAGGCCCUCGGGUUGUAAAGCACUUUCAGCGAGGAAGAACGCCUAUCGGUUAAUACCCGGUAGGAAAGACAUCACUCGCAGAAGAAGCACCGGCUAACUCCGUGCCAGCAGCCGCGGUAAUACA
rnacentral:rRNA from 1 species